UUUCUCACGUGGUGGUUGACCGUGGCCAUUCUUUGAAUUAAGGCUCCCAGUUUCCCACUUGUCACUAACACCCUUAAAAACAUAUUACAAUUUUUCGUUAUUGUUGUGUAUUGUUGUGUAUUACAAAAUUCACUUACAGAUCAGCAAGACAUUCUAACAGCAGAAUUGUGACUUUAAAAAAUUUUCCAUGAAGAGAGAAAAACAAUACGUGGUAUAUCUUACGAUGUAUAUGAGGCAUCAACAAAGACACUGUUGAGUGUUGAGUGCACAAGAGAAUCAAGUCUUCCUUUUCUCCCUGGGGCCAGGUAAACUUCCAGAAUCUUGCGGGCCCAGCUACAGUUCUCUGACGGCCAUUGGGCAUCUCUGGUUUCAUUCAUUUUGUGGUGCUGGCGUUCACCCUGAGCCUGCCCACCAUAGCAAGGCUUCAUCCGCACGCUGGUAGUAGCAUCUUCCCAGACAGCCCUCCUAUACCGAGAUGCUAACAGGACCUUAACCGUAAGUGCCAAUGACAGAGGACCACAUCAAUUCAUCAUAUUAACCCCCAUCCACACUCACCCCUGACUCACCCUUCCGUAAACCGGAUUUCAAGAUGCCAGGAGUCAUUCAAACUGCACCUAAUUCCAAAGGAAGGUUGAGCGGUGAUGGAGGAGGAGUUGGAGGCAACAUCGUAACCAAUUGGACAUAAAACAUUUCACUGUGCAGAUGUUGUCUAGGCAGGUAACCAUGACAACACACUGGCAGAAUCCCUCCAGAGCUGUUGUCUAACUCCGCAACCCCUCUACAGGCUCACAUAUUUGAACGUUGGAUUCUCAGCUGGUGAUGCUGUUUGGGGAGGCUGUGGAGGAGGUGUGGCCCAACUGGAGCACGUGGGUCCCUUAACCUCACUUCCGCCCUUUCUCUGUUUUCAGAUCUGAGCUGUAAGCAGCAGUCACCUCAUGCUCCCUCCCACGCAUUGCCUUCUCUGCCACGAUGGACUGUGCCCUCUCAAACCAAGAGCCAGAAUAAAUCUUUGCAGCCCUAAGCGGCUUCCCGUCAGGUGCCCGAUAACAGCAGCUUCUGAGGCAUGGGUGACCUCAGGAUGGACACUGAAAAUGGGAGCUCAAUCCUCUGACGAUGCAGGGACAGUGAUGUCUGAGCUGUAUCCAGGGGGGCUGCUGAAUUAAGCAACUCUGUUACAAAUUGUCACCUAAGUGAGUUUGGGGAACAUUUGUCUGCCCUGCAUUCAUCCUGACAACAGCUUGAGUCCAAAACCAUUGGAAAAAUCGUUCACUCACGGGAGAAUCGUCAGUGAACCUUUAUACAAAUGUGUCUUUGGAGCUAUGGGAAAAACACUGAAACUAUGGAGUAAGAUCUGAGGGAGGAAAGCAUGAACGUGGAGUCGGCCGGGAAUGGCGUCUGGUGGUUCUUCUUCCUGCACACUGGUCCGUCAUGCAUCGGAACCGCCUGUGCAGUUCUUGCAUGAGCAGCUCUCCAGCCUGGACUGAUGGUGAUGGGCCAGAGAGAACAACAAGGAAGCCAGGGGACGACCUUGAACUGAACGGUACCAGGUCAGGUCAGAGACAGCCAGACACUACCCGGACAGCGGCAACAUUGUUGCCCCACAAUAUUGUCUGUCUCCAAAGAUGCUUUUCAGACAAAUUCAGGAGGUGCUGAAAAUCAAUAAAUUCCUAGACUUGAGCCUUCCAUGUGGUGAUACCCCCUCGCAGGGCUCCAGGAUACCUUAUGAAGACUUGUGGGCUACUCCAACCUUCUCUUUACCCAGAGUACUUGCGAAGCAUAGAUGCUGUGUGGACCCAUCCUCUGAGCGCGGGAACCAUCUCUCUGUUUGUCAACUGCCAGCGUUGACAUUCUCUCUCACUUCCCACGGUCUGGCACCAGAGAGGGGAUCUGGAGCCAACUUGAUUCCUCCUCUAAAGAGACAGCUUUGCAGUCUGCACUGUGUUUGUAAGGGAACUAAUAAAAUGUGCAAA
rnacentral:sRNA from 1 species